rnacentral:rRNA from 1 species
CCCUUAGAUGUUCUGGGCCGCACGCGCGCUACACUGACGAAUGCAACGAGCUUAUAACCUUGGCCGAAAGGUCUGGGUAAUCUCCAAAUUUCGUCGUGAUGGGGAUAGAUUAUUGCAAUUAUUAAUCUUCAACGAGGAAUGCCUAGUAAUCGUAGGUCAUCAGCCUGCGAUGAUUACGUCCCUGCCCUUUGUACACACCGCCCGUCGCUCCUACCGAUUUCGAGUGGUUCGGUGAACCUUUCGGACCGGCAAUGCCUCGUGUUGCGCCGGAAAGUCAAGUAAACCAUAUCACUUAGAGGAAGGAGAAGUCGUAACA